rnacentral:rRNA from 1 species
AGCGUACACGGUGGAUGCCUAGGCAGUCAGAGGCGAUGAAGGGCGUGCUAAUCUGCGAAAAGCGUCGGUAAGCUGAUAUGAAGCGUUAUAACCGACGAUACCCGAAUGGGGAAACCCAGUGCAAUACGUUGCACUAUCGUUAGAUGAAUACAUAGUCUAACGAGGCGAACCGGGGGAACUGAAACAUCUAAGUACCCCGAGGAAAAGAAAUCAACCGAGAUUCCCCCAGUAGCGGCGAGCGAACGGGGAGGAGCCCAGAGUCUGAAUCAGUUUGUGUGUUAGUGGAAGCGUCUGGAAAGUCGCACGGUACAGGGUGAUAGUCCCGUACACCAAAAUGCACAGGCUGUGAACUCGAUGAGUAGGGCGGGACACGUGACAUCCUGUCUGAAUAUGGGGGGACCAUCCUCCAAGGCUAAAUACUCCUGACUGACCGAUAGUGAACCAGUACCGUGAGGGAAAGGCGAAAAGAACCCCGGCGAGGGGAGUGAAAUAGAACCUGAAACCGUGUACGUACAAGCAGUGGGAGCACCUUCGUGGUGUGACUGCGUACCUUUUGUAUAAUGGGUCAGCGACUUAUAUUUUGUAGCAAGGUUAACCGAAUAGGGGAGCCGUAGGGAAACCGAGUCUUAACUGGGCGUCUAGUUGCAAGGUAUAGACCCGAAACCCGGUGAUCUAGCCAUGGGCAGGUUGAAGGUUGGGUAACACUAACUGGAGGACCGAACCGACUAAUGUUGAAAAAUUAGCGGAUGACUUGUGGCUGGGGGUGAAAGGCCAAUCAAACCGGGAGAUAGCUGGUUCUCCCCGAAAGCUAUUUAGGUAGCGCCUCGUGAACUCAUCUUCGGGGGUAGAGCACUGUUUCGGCUAGGGGGCCAUCCCGGCUUACCAAACCGAUGCAAACUCCGAAUACCGAAGAAUGUUAUCACGGGAGACACACGGCGGGUGCUAACGUCCGUCGUGAAGAGGGAAACAACCCAGACCGCCAGCUAAGGUCCCAAAGUCAUGGUUAAGUGGGAAACGAUGUGGGAAGGCACAGACAGCCAGGAUGUUGGCUUAGAAGCAGCCAUCAUUUAAAGAAAGCGUAAUAGCUCACUGGUCGAGUCGGCCUGCGCGGAAGAUGUAACGGGGCUAAACCAUGCACCGAAGCUGCGGCAGCGACACUUAGGUGUUGUUGGGUAGGGGAGCGUUCUGUAAGCCGUUGAAGGUGACCUGUGAGGGUUGCUGGAGGUAUCAGAAGUGCGAAUGCUGACAUAAGUAACGAUAAUGCGGGUGAAAAACCCGCACGCCGGAAGACCAAGGGUUCCUGUCCAACGUUAAUCGGGGCAGGGUGAGUCGACCCCUAAGGCGAGGCUGAAAAGCGUAGUCGAUGGGAAACAGGUUAAUAUUCCUGUACUUGGUGUUACUGCGAAGGGGGGACGGAGAAGGCUAGGCUGGCCGGGCGACGGUUGUCCCGGUUUAAGCGUGUAGGGGGAGUGACCAGGUAAAUCCGGUUGCUUAUCAACCCUGAGGCGUGAUGACGAUGCACUACGGUGCAGAAGCAGUUGAUGCCAUGCUUCCAGGAAAAGCCUCUAAGCAUCAGGUAACAUUAAAUCGUACCCCAAACCGACACAGGUGGUCAGGUAGAGAAUACUCAGGCGCUUGAGAGAACUCGGGUGAAGGAACUAGGCAAAAUGGUGCCGUAACUUCGGGAGAAGGCACGCUGGCGUUAGGUGAAAGGACUAGCUCCUNGAGCUGAAGCCAGUCGCAGAUACCAGCUGGCUGCAACUGUUUAAUAAAAACACAGCACUGUGCAAACACGAAAGUGGACGUAUACGGUGUGACGCCUGCCCGGUGCUGGAAGGUUAAUUGAUGGGGUCAGCCGCAAGGCGAAGCUCUUGAUCGAAGCCCCAGUAAACGGCGGCCGUAACUAUAACGGUCCUAAGGUAGCGAAAUUCCUUGUCGGGUAAGUUCCGACCUGCACGAAUGGCGUAAUGAUGGCCAGGCUGUCUCCACCCGAGACUCAGUGAAAUUGAACUCGCUGUGAAGAUGCAGUGUACCCGCGGCAAGACGGAAAGACCCCGUGAACCUUUACUAUAGCUUGACACUGAACAUUGAGCCUUGAUGUGUAGGAUAGGUGGGAGGCCUUGAAGUGUGGACGCCAGUCUGCAUGGAGCCAACCUUGAAAUACCACCCUUUAAUGUUUGAUGUUCUAACUCGGCCCCAUGAUCUGGGGUGAGGACAGUGUCUGGUGGGUAGUUUGACUGGGGCGGUCUCCUCCCAAAGAGUAACGGAGGAGCACGAAGGUUAGCUAAUCACGGUCGGACAUCGUGAGGUUAGUGCAAAGGCAUAAGCUAGCUUGACUGCGAGAGUGACGGCUCGAGCAGGUACGAAAGUAGGUCUUAGUGAUCCGGUGGUUCUGAAUGGAAGGGCCAUCGCUCAACGGAUAAAAGGUACUCCGGGGAUAACAGGCUGAUACCGCCCAAGAGUUCAUAUCGACGGCGGUGUUUGGCACCUCGAUGUCGGCUCAUCACAUCCUGGGGCUGAAGUAGGUCCCAAGGGUAUGGCUGUUCGCCAUUUAAAGUGGUACGCGAGCUGGGUUUAGAACGUCGUGAGACAGUUCGGUCCCUAUCUGCCGUGGGCGUUGGAAGAUUGAGAGGGGCUGCUCCUAGUACGAGAGGACCGGAGUGGACGAAUCACUGGUGUUCGGGUUGUCAUGCCAAUGGCAUUGCCCGGUAGCUAAAUUCGGAAGAGAUAACCGCUGAAAGCAUCUAAGCGGGAAACUUGCCUCGAGAUGAGUCUUCCCUGGGNCUUAAAGYCCCCUGAAGGAACGUUAAAGACUAUGACGUUGA